rnacentral:ncRNA from 2 species
ACCCGUUCUCAGGGCGGGGCGAAACUCCCCACCGGCGGUAUCGGGCGUCAAAACCCGGAGCCCGCAAGCGCCUUCCGCAAAACGGAAGGGUCAGCAGAUCCGGUGCGAUGCCGGAGCCGACGGUCACAGUCCGGUGGAAGACGGUCACAGUCCGGAUGGAAGAGAGCAAGC